rnacentral:rRNA from 1 species
UACAGAGGUCUCAAGCGUUGUUCGGAUUCAUUGGGCGUAAAGGGCGCGUAGGCUGCGGGGCAAGUCGGGUGUGAAAUCUCGGAGCUCAACUCCGAAAUUGCACUGGAUACUGCUCUGCUUGAGGGUUGGAGAGGAGAUCGGAAUUCACGGUGUAGCAGUGAAAUGCGUAGAUAUCGUGAGGAAGACCAGUGGCGAAGGCGGAUCUCUGGACAAAUCCUGACGCUGAGGCGCGAAGGCUAGGGGAGCAAACGGG